AGAUCACAGGUAAACCAGCGUCAUCAUUCUACAGGACCCUGACUGGGACAAAAGAGUAAGACUACCAUGAUAAAUAAUGUGUCUGCCCACUACAUAAUUAUCUCAAAGGUGAAGGAACUACUAGCCACAAACCAUUGCGAAUCCCAUCCCAACAAUUUCCCCUCAAUCAGAGAAGUCGAUGUUAGUGAUGGGUGUGCUUUGUGGAAUCCACUGGACUUGUGUCAGUUGACACAGAGACUUCUAGCAUUAGAAAGAGUAAAUAAAGUCCCCAGUCUACCUAUA